GACAGAGGGUGCAAACGUUGUUCGGAAUUACUGGGCGUAAAGCGCGUGUAGGCGGCUCGGAAAGUCGGAUGUGAAAGCCCUGGGCUUAACCUAGGAAGUGCAUUCGAAACUCCCGAGCUUGAGUUCUGGAGAGGAAGGCGGAAUUCUCGGUGUAGAGGUGAAAUUCGUAGAUAUCGAGAGGAACACCGGUGGCGAAGGCGGCUCACUGGACCGGUUCUGACGCUGAGGCGCGAAAGCGUGGGGAGCAAACGGG
rnacentral:rRNA from 1 species